AUUCCAGCUCCAAUAGCGCAUAUUAAUGUUGUUGCAGUUAAAAAGCUCGUAGUUGGAUUCCUGGCCUGGGGUAGCCGGUCCGCCUUGCAAAAGGUGCGCACUGAGCGGCCUCGGCCAUCCUUGGGAAGAGCAGUCCUGGCAUUCAGUUGUCGGGGUUGGGAUUCCCGACGUUUACUGUGAAAAAAUCAGAGUGUUCAACGCAGGCUUACGCCUUGAAUACAUUAGCAUGGAAUAAUGAGAUAGGACCUUGGCGGUCUAUUUUGUUGGUUUGCACGCCGAGGUAAUGAUUAAAAGGGACGGUUGGGGUUCUUCGUAUUCAAUUGUCAGAGGUGAAAUUCUUGGAUUUAUGGAAGACGAACUGCUGCGAAAGCGUCGAACAAGGACGUUCUCAUUA
rnacentral:rRNA from 1 species